GGUUUUGUACUUUAUAUUGUAGAAGAUUUGGUUUGCAACUAAAUAGAAGAAUACAAUUCUCUAAACCA
rnacentral:tRNA from 1 species